GCACACACUAUCUCUGGAGCUGGUCAGGAGCACACUCUGGAGCUGGUCAGGAGCACACACUACAUCUCUGGAGCUGGUCAGGAGCACACACUAUCUCUGGAGCUGGUCAGGAGCACACACUAUAUCUUGGAGCUGGUCAGGAGCACACACAUAUCUCUGGAGCUGGUCAGGAGCACACACUAUAUCUCUGGAGCUGGUCAGGAGCACACACUAAUCUCUGGAGCUGGUCAGGACCACACACUACAUCUCUGGAGCUGGUCAGGAGCACACACUAUAUCUCUCGGGAGCUGGUCAUGGAGUACACACUAUAUCUUUGGAGCUGGUCAGGAGCACACACUAAUCUCUGGAGCUGGUCAUGAGUACACACUAUAUCUUUGGAGCUGGUCAGGAGCACACUCUAUAUCUCUGGAGCUGGUCAUAGUACAACUAUAUCUUUGGAGCUGGUCAGGAGCACACUGGAGCUGGUCAGGAGCACACACCAUAUCUCUGGAGUGGUCAGGAGCACACCUAUACUCUGGAGCUGGUCAGGAGCACACUCUACACUCUGGAGCUGGUCAGGAGCACACUCUACAUCUCUGGACUGGUUAGGAGCACACUCUACAUCUCUGUAUAACGUAGAGACGAGGAGGGUCAGACAGAGAUUAAAAAGACUCAAAUCUCUACUGUUUUUCUAUUGAUAGAUAUUGGACAGCUCUUGUUCUGAUCGAUACUGGACAGCUCUUGUUCCGAUAGAUACUGGACAACUCCUGUAGAGCAUCAAACAGGGUUCCGGACAGAGGUUGAUCAGCAUUAGGGGGUUGUGUGAGUGUAUGGGUUAGGUGGACACGCAUUGUCAUUGGGUUGGUGAGUAUGUGUGAUGUGUGUCGCUGCAACAUGUCCCCGUCUGAAAGGCUCCAGGCCCGGGCAGCAUUGAUGGAUCAAUCCCUGGAUCAGCAGGCAUCUGGACAAUGUGUGUGUGUGUGUGUUUAUGAAUGUGCGUGUUAACAAAUGAUUGUGCCACUCAGGAUUAGCCUGGGGGUGUGGUGGCUGGAUAGACGGAGACGAAACCCGUCUCUCUUCCGUCGAGACAGAGAGACACUAAACGUCAAGCACACUCCUACCAAAACACCAGACAGUCACAGACAUGAUAAAUAUAGAGAGAGACAGACGCACAGACGGAGAGAGACGGACAGACGGACGGACGGACGGACAGAGACAGACGGACAGUGAUAAAAGGCCGGAAAAACCUUGGGCCACAUACGUAGUUGUAUCAAUAGGCAGCCAUCCACAUCAGCCCCACAUCGACAUAGAUGAACACACACACGGAGCAUGAGGUUGAUACCAACAGGCUCAGAGACACUUUCAAACUACAAGCCAUCAGACUGCUGAACACUUGAACUGGACUGACAACCUGCACCAGCUUUCCGCACCUUAGCACACACAACACACACACACACACACCACACACACACACACACACACACACACACACACCAAGAUUGCUAAAAA
rnacentral:lncRNA from 1 species